UGGUUUGUUUUGGGUCGUUCGGGGGUUUUUUGAGGGGGGUGUGUAUAAAUCUGGGCUGGAGUUCCACGGCUCCGUGCCCGGAGUUUGACGCUCAGCUCCUGCGGUGCCACGGGCACACGCGGCCGGUGGGAGGGAAGGAGAAUAGAAAGCCAGAGGGGUAGAGACCCCCUUUUCUCCCUCCCCUCUCCCCCAAAAGCCACCUCUUUGAGCACCGUGCCACCGGCAGAGCUGUCACUCGAGGAAAGAUAGGCACCGAUCGGGUUUCCAAACUCCCUCCGCGUUAUUGGCGAGCAGUUGUGAGCAGCCUCGGGGGCGCCUGUCACAUCUGUGCGCAUCUCUGACCCUGAGCUUUGCUGCGCAUCGAAUGUUCUCCCCCGGCUCGCGAAAAGGAUGGGUUUCUUUGCCUUACAUCACUCUGCGACCGAAUCUCCCCGAUCUGGCCCCAAAACACCCGGGGAUGGAGCUCUAAACACAGCACAAAGCACCCGUGAAAAAAUCACGUUCAAAGCGUUCGCCACCGGCAGCCUUUCCACAAGGAAAUAAAAUAUCCCAGAGUCAAAAAAACCCCAAAACUCUCCGUGGAAAUCAAACUAUUUCCCUUCAAAGAAAACCAGUCCCUUCACGAGUGCCCUUUCCCCCUCUGGCAAUAUCUGUUAGGAGCGGGAAGAUUUGGUUUCCGAUGCAUUUAUUACAGCUAGCAAAAGUUAAAAAUGGGAAUAUAUCUCUCGGGGUCCUAUAGGCCUCGUCGUGGGAAUAGCAGAAAUGUUGGAGGGUUUUAAUCCGAGCCCACGAGCUGGGGAAAGGAGAGUUUUGGGGAGGAAAAGCCUGGUGUACGAGGAGGAGGAGGAGGAUGGUGUGGGGGAAACGGGACUCGUGUUUGGUGGUGUUUGCUCGUGGUUUGGGUGGGUGAAUCGAGUCCUCCCCCAGACCCCGACGGGCUGAGAUGAAAAGCAGGGAGAAAAAGAAAAAAUGGCAAAAAUUGAACUAUCAUCUGGCGCAAUCAGCCUCUCCCAUCCCGUUCUGAGCCCGCUUUACCGGCCCCGGCCCCGCCGCGCUUCCCACCCGGCUCCUUCCCAAACCCGCUCCCCUUCCCUCCCCCUGCCCCAAACUCGGGCCGUGUUUUGUGUAAAAAUAGACAAAUCCGAGCUUUCUUCCUUUUCCUGCGCCGAAGGUAUUUUUACUAGCUAAUUGCUUAAGUGAAGUCAACUCUGCGAGCAGGCCGGGUGUAACCCGAGGAUGGAAAUGUAUAUAGGUGCUAUUGUUAGAGGGUGCUGCUCCGAGAGGGGCCGGGGUGUUCCUGCGAGCCCGGACCACCCAGGGCGAGGGGAGUGACCGCCCCGUGUCCCCCUCCCCGCUGUCCUGCUUUGCAUUAACACCCCCCGCGGGACCCCCCCUGCUCCCCAGCACCGGCCUUUUCCCCUCGCCUGCCUCGGGUUUUUUUUUUUUUCCAGUCGCCGCCAUCCCCGUGGCCGCUGGCCCCAAAUCCGCGGCGAAUCGAUCCCUAAAUGUUUAUUUAAAGGCGAGGGGGUGCAUUCGAGCGAGGGGCUCGAGGAUGGAGAGAGGAGAGCUGGGGGAAGGUGGAAGCACCGAGAGAUGUUUUUAGGGAGACGCACGCACACUCCAAACUAAUUUUUUUGCGGGUCCAUCACACGGCAAGGCUUUGCCCCCCACUCGUGGGAUCUUUCCCAGUCGCAGCCUCGGCCUCUCCCAUUCCUGGAGGCAAAGCCCAACGGGCCCUGGAGAAGAAUUUAGGAGAGCAGAAGCCGAAAUUGGGAGCUGAGCAGAGCUGCCCGAGUGUCUGAGGCGGCUGCGGGGAGGUGCGGGCUGGCUGUCACCGCCGUGCCUCAGGCAGAAGUUCGGGGCUUUGGUCAAAAAGGGAAAAAAAAAAGAAAAAAAGGAAAAUUUUAAUCUCCCCUUUUUGUCUCCCUUUUCCCCCUCUGCCCGUCCCGAGUCUCCCCCCCGCGCCCUUCGAGCCCAGAUUUUCCAUGACGUCCUUCGAUGAAAUAUUGCAGCACAGGAAUUUACAGCCUCCUUUAGCUCGGGAAUUUUUUUCUGUGGAGUUUUCUGGCAGGAGCCGGUCCCUGCAAUACAAAUCGGUUCCAGCGAUAAUAAGCUCCGAGCGCUACCACUCAGACACAAUCGCUUCCCACAGAGAUCUUCCAAAUAUCUGCGGGUAUUUAUAUCCCCGCUCAGGGACGGAUAGCUAGAAUGCUUUCCCGCGGGGAUGCUUUUGGGCUGGCUGGGAUUCAGAGCCGAAGAAUUGGGUACCCAGAGAAGCAGCGGAGUUGAGCCGCAGCAGAGCUGGGACCCGGCGAGUGAUGCUCCCACAUCCACAAAUUACAAAUUCGCCCUUAAAAGAAGCUCGAAUUGUAAAUCCAGGUGUAAAUCCAGGUGUAAAUCCAGGUGUAAAUCCGCUCCUGAGACAUUCAGGCUUUCCUGAACGAGGUUUCUUCCCUGGAGGCCCGCGGUUGGGGAUACUCCCAAAACAAACAGAACCCCCGGGAAGGGA